rnacentral:rRNA from 1 species
CCUACGGGUGGCAGCAGUGGGGAAUAUUGCACAAUGGGGGAAACCCUGAUGCAGCGACGCCGCGUGAGUGAAGAAGUAAUUCGGUAUGUAAAGCUCUAUCAGCAGGGAAGAAACAGACGGUACGUGAGUAAGAAGCUCCGGCUAACUACGUGCCAGCAGCCGCGGUAAUACGGGGGGUGCAAGCGUUGUCCGGAUUCAUUGGGCGUAAAGGGUUCGUAGGUGGCACGUUAAGUCUGGUGUGAAAGGCGGAAGCUCAACUUCCGUAGGGCACUGGAUACUGGCGGGCUUGAGUACGGUAGAGGUAAGGGGAAUUCCUGGUGUAGCGGUGAAAUGCGUAGAUAUCAGGAGGAACAUCGGUGGCGAAGGCGCUUUACUGGACCGUAAUUGACACUGAGGAACGAAAGCCGGGGUAGCAAAUAGGAUUAGAUACCCUGGUAGUC